UACAGAGGGUGCAAGCGUUAAUCGGAAUUACUGGGCGUAAAGCGUGCGUAGACGGUUAUGUAAGUCGGGUGUGAAAGCCCCGGGCUCAACCUGGGAAUUGCAUUCGAGACUGCAUAGCUAGGGUGCGGAAGAGGGAAGCGGAAUUUCCGGUGUAGCGGUGAAAUGCGUAGAUAUCGGGAGGAACACCUGUGGCGAAAGCGGCUCACUGGACCAUUACUGACGCUGAUGCACGAAAGCUAGGGGAGCAAACAGG
rnacentral:rRNA from 1 species